rnacentral:lncRNA from 1 species
UGAAACUUCAAAAAGGGUAUUGUAUGGAUGGCAUGCAAACUAGUAAGAACUUAUGCUUUGGUACAUUGGCUUGAAUGAACCUAUUUAAUAUCGUGAAUUUUUCAGAGAUGUAAGCAUAUUUGACACUUAAGUUCAAGGAUCUCUCUCAACAGAUGGAUAGACCCAUUCAGCUCCAUAUUUCAGGAGUAAAGAGUGAGAUGCAUCCCCAAGCAUCUCUGGACAUGAAAGGACAGCAUAGGUCAUCCAUAUGACAACACAAUCCUGUAAAUGGGACUAACAUCAGCAAGUUGCAUAUAUGACAAUGAAGCAGAACUGUCUAUCCUGUUGGGAUUUUCUACUUCAGCAAGGAUUGCAGAUUAGGUGGAUAUUCAACAUUCAGCCCUACUUUUCUAGACUUAAUACAGUGACUUUCUUGUCACCAAAAGAAAAGAGGAAGAAAAAAUGUUUUUACCAGUGAUUGUGGAAGAAGUCUUGCAGGGACUAAUUAGAUUCCAUAUCUGCUAAGUACCAGGUAAUUAUAAUGGAAUAUUCUUUUGAAAUACAGAAAGGAAACUGUUCCCAGGUGGUCUGAUGAGCAACAAUGACUAAUAUUUUUUGGCAUCAAAGGACCAAAUUCAGUUUUACACCUGUGUAUUAGAGCCAGGUCAGACACACAGUAGACCAAAGACUGUUGGAAUGUACGUACAUGUCUG